AGUUUGGAUCAUGGCUCAGUAAGUCGUAACAAGGUAACCGAUAGAGUUUGGAUCAUGGCUCAGUAAGUCGGAACGGGGAAACCGAAAUGGGUAACCUACCCUUAAGUGGGGGAUAACAUUUGGAAACAGAUGCUAAUACCGCAUAACCAUUCAGACCACAUGGUCUGAAUGUAAAAGACGGCCUUUGGCUGUCACUUUUGGACGGACCCGCGGCGUAUUAGUUAGUUGGUAAGGUAACGGCUUACCAAGACAAUGAUACGUAUCCGACCUGAGAGGGUAAUCGGCCACAUUGGGACUGAGACACGGCCCAAACUCAAACGGGAGGCAGCAGUAGGGAAUCUUCCACAAUGGACGAAAGUCUGAUGGAGCAACGCCGCGUGAGUGAAGAAGGUUUUAGGAUCGUAAAACUCUGUUGUUGGAGAAGAACAGGGACUAGAGUAACUGUUAGUCCUUUGACGGUAUCCAACCAGAAAGCCACGGCUAACUACGUGCCAGCAGCCGCGGUAAUACGUAGGUGGCAAGCGUUGUCCGGAUUUAUUGGGCGUAAAGCGAGCGCAGGCGGUUUUUUAAGUCUGAUGUGAAAGCCUUCGGCUUAACCGAAGAAGUGCAUUAGAAACUGGGAAACUUGAGUGCAGAAGAGGACAGUGGAACUCCAUGUGUAGCGGUGAAAUGCGUAGAUAUAUGGAAGAACACCAGUGGCGAAGGCGGCUGUCUGGUCUGCAACUGACGCUGAGGCUCGAAAGUAUGGGGAGCGAACAGGAUUAGAUACCCUGGUAGUCCAUACCGUAAACGAUGAAUGCUAAGUGUUGGAGGGUUCCGCCCUUCAGGGCUGCAGCUA
rnacentral:rRNA from 1 species